rnacentral:lncRNA from 1 species
CGUGCUCGAUUUGGGCCUCAAUAUAUAAUAAAAUUGUUAUAGUACAUUGAUCAUGAACGAAUAGUACUAUAAAUGGGGAAUACCCUCUAACUCAAUUGUUCAAGAGUCUUAUCAUUUAGACUUAAAGUACUAUGAAUGAGAAAUACAUAUCAACUCAAAUCUUAAGUUUGAGUAUUAUUGUCGCAUAAACUUUGAGUCUAUCAUAUUCUAUUGAGACUUAUAGUCUCAAAAUGUGAUCUAGGCUUCAAGCCAUAAAUUGAUUAUGAUCAAUUAUCAAUUUUCUCAUUUCAAUAUUUUGUGGACUUGAAAAAUGUCCACAAAUGACAAAUCUGUCAUGUCUGAGUAAUUUACUUGUAUCUCUCUCAUUCGAGAUCCAAUUUCAACGCUUCAACAUGCUGUGAACAGCCAACAGAAAGUUCUACAACUUUCGUAUUUUACAUUUUAUCAAAUUCGGACAAUAUCAGGUCCGAAACGGGACUCAAAGUCUUGAAAAAUGACCACAAAUGACAGAUCUGGCAUGUCUGAGUAUUUUUUAGCAUAUCUCUCUUGAUCGAGAUCCGAUUUCGAUGAUUCAAAAUGUUCUGAAAAGCCAACAGAAAAUGCUACAAGUUUCGUAUUUUGCAUUUUCUGAAAUUC